rnacentral:rRNA from 1 species
GACGAACGCUGGCGGCGUGCUUAACACAUGCAAGUCGAACGAUGAAGCCCAGCUUGCUGGGUGGAAGAGUGGCGAACGGGUGAGUAACACGUGAGUAACCUGCCCAUCACUCUGGGAUAAGCGCUGGAAACGGCGUCUAAUACUGGAUAUGAGCAGCGACCGCAUGGUCAGUUGUUGGAAAGAUUUAUUGGUGAUGGAUGGACUCGCGGCCUAUCAGCUAGUUGGUGAGGUAAUGGCUCACCAAGGCGACGACGGGUAGCCGGCCUGAGAGGGUGACCGGCCACACUGGGACUGAGACACGGCCCAGACUCCUACGGGAGGCAGCAGUGGGGAAUAUUGCACAAUGGGCGCAAGCCUGAUGCAGCAACGCCGCGUGAGGGAUGAC